rnacentral:rRNA from 1 species
AUUGAACGCUGGCGGCAGGCUUAACACAUGCAAGUCGAACGAGUGGCGGACGGGUGAGUAAUGCUUGGGAAUCUGGCUUAUGGAGGGGGAUAACGACGGGAAACUGUCGCUAAUACCGCGUACCAUAGGAUGAGCCCAAGUGGGAUUAGGUAGUGGGUGGGGUAAUGGCCUACCAAGGCGACGAUCCCUAGCUGGUCUGAGAGGAUGACCGGCAACCCCGGGACUGAGACGCGGCCGGGACUCCUACGGGAGGAAGCAGUGGGAAAUAUUGCGAAAUGGGGGCAACCUGACGGGGCCAUGCCGCGUGAAUGAAGAAGGCCUUCGGGUUGUAAAGUUCUUUCGGUGACGAGGCGUUAAUCACAGAGGAAGCACCGGCUAACUCCGUGCCAGCCGCCGCGGUAAUUC